UGUGUUAGAGGUUACAGUAUAAAGAUACACAUCAUGUUGACCUGGUGGAGGCUCCUCACUGUGUUAGAGGUUACAGUAUAAAGAUACACAUCAUGUUGACCUGGUGGAGGCUCCUCACUGUGUUAGAGGUUACAGUAUAAAGAUACACAUCAUGUUGACCUGGUGGAGGCUCCUCACUGUGUCCCCUCCCCACUUCAGGACGUUCUCUUGGGGCUCGAGCUGCCUCUGCUCUGGCCAGGCAGCUCAGUGUUCGACCAGAGGAUGCAGUAGCAGGCCUCGUCUGUCUGUCCUUCCCCCUACACCCUCCAGGACAGACCCACGGCCAUCGCCAGCGGAGCGAGGACCUCCGGGGGUUGCCUACGGAGGUGCCUGUGUUGUUUCUGUCUGGCACUGCAGACAACAUGUGUGAGAAGAUCCUUCUGGAGGAUGUCGUUAAAGAGAUGAGGUGUCCAACGACUGUUCGCUGGGUGGAAGGAGGCAACCAUGGGCUCAUAGUGAAGGGAAGGACAGAGGAGUCUGUCCAGGAUGAACUCAACGCACAUGUCUUAUCAUGGAUUUUGGAACGAAUUGCAUGAAGCUGACUCUUUGAUUCUAAACAAACUACUCUUUGAUUCUAAACGAAUUACUCUUGAUUCUAAACGAAUUACUCUUGAUUCUAAA